AGUUGUGUCCUGGGGAAAAACUUGUCUUGAAAACGAGUUUAAAGUGUUCAAUUCACUUGACAACUU
rnacentral:tRNA from 1 species